rnacentral:lncRNA from 1 species
GGUAAUCCUAGGAGGCGUAAGACCCCAGUAGAAUUAGGGUUUCCAGAAGAAGUUGUAUGCAUGGCACGUGGAUACUUAGGGCACCCGCAAACAGAUGGCGCUAAAAAUAAGGUGCACCAAGUUGAGACCUAGGCGGCCACUCUGAUGAUACGUUCAAUUCCAGUUAAAGGAAGUUCAUGCGCCAGAUACGCUAAGAUUACACAAUAGCGAC